rnacentral:rRNA from 1 species
GGUGAACGCUGGCGGCGUGCCUAAUACAUGCAAGUCAAGCGAACAGACGAGGAGCUUGCUCCUCUGACGUUAGCGGCGGACGGGUGAGUAACACGUGGAUAACCUACCUAUAAGACUGGGAUAACUUCGGGAAACCGGAGCUAAUACCGGAUAAUAUAUUGAACCGCAUGGUUCAAUAGUGAAAGACGGUUUUGCUGUCACUUAUAGAUGGAUCCGCGCCGCAUUAGCUAGUUGGUAAGGUAACGGCUUACCAAGGCAACGAUGCGUAGCCGACCUGAGAGGGUGAUCGGCCACACUGGAACUGAGACACGGUCCAGACUCCUACGGGAGGCAGCAGUAGGGAAUCUUCCGCAAUGGGCGAAAGCUUGACGGAGCAACGCCGCGUGAGUGAUGAAGGUCUUCGGAUCGUAAAGCUCUGUUAUUAGGGAAGAACAAAUGUGUAAGUAACUAUGCACGUCUUGACGGUACCUAAUCAGAAAGCCACGGCUAACUACGUG